GGAUGUGAGGGCAAUCUGGCUACAUCUGUCACCCCAUUGAUUGCCAGGGUUGAUUUGGUUGAUCUGGCUGGUUAGGCAGGUAUCCCCUUCCUCCCUCACCGCUCUAUGUGCGUCCCUCCCAAAGCUGUGUGUUCAAAGAGAGUGACCAUCUCUGAGAGAAGAAAUGUUCUUUGGUCAAGGGUAUACAAGUAGCUGCACUCCCCUGCUGGAACCUCCAAACAAGCUCACAAGUGGUCCUAUCUAGAGUCCUUGUUGACUAACACAGGAGUGAGUAACAAUAAGGGAAGUCCUAGCUAGAGUAAGCCUUGUUU
rnacentral:snRNA from 1 species